rnacentral:misc_RNA from 1 species
CGGCGACCCCCGUGAAAUUCUGUUGUGUCUGGCACCGAGACUGAAGCAUUUUAUAAACGUGAAAACCUUCAGAGUACCCGGCUAUUAAUUUUCCGGCAAUUUGCACGCGUAUGCUAGCUACGUUGAGAUAUUACCUGUCGAGUGAGUAGAAUGUCGUAUUUCCACCGAAGCGUCGAUUGCAAGGUGUACGUCGGUAACUUGGGGUCGGGCGCCAGUCGUCAUGAGCUAGAAGAUGCCUUCAUCAAGUACGGGGACCUGACCAAUGUUUGGGUGGCCAGGAACCCUCCUGGAUUUGCAUUUGUUGAGUUCAAGAAUCGCAGUGAUGCGCUGCGUGCCGUAGAUGGCUUGGACGACUGCUACCUCUGUGGGCGUCGGAUCACCGUCGAGAUGUCGACGGGGGAGAGCCGAAAUCGGGGCAGUGGCCGUUACCCGCCCCGUCGCUCCAUCAGCGACGAGAAGUGCUAUGAGUGCGGGCAGAGGGGCCACUUUGCCCGGGACUGUCGCUACAACCGUCGCCGUAACCGCAGGUCCCGCAGCAGGAGCCCCCAGUAUCGCCCCAUCUAGCGCACUUGUCAGCUAGUCAGCUAACCAAAGAGGGCUAGUCAGCUAACCAAAGACAGCUAGUCAGCUAACCAGUUCGUCAGCUGAACAGCUCGACGGCUCUAGGUUCAACCAACCCCCCCAACAGGGCCCUGGGCGGCUAGAUCAGCUUAGAAAAACAUAAUAAAAACCCAAACAAAACCACUAGCUCGCUCGUCGCAUCGCCACCACUCAGCACAUGACCACCAUGACACGAACUUCUCGCGGCCACCAUUAGCCCGUCAUGCGAUCGGCACGACCCGUCCACGCGACUCAACACUUGACCAACAUGCAGAGCAUGCUCCGUCCGUGUCGGAUCCUUGUGCCGUCGUGCCAUAGAUGGGCCAUAAAUGUCCCCAAAUUUCGUCAGCUUGUUUGGUUUAAAAGGACACGGGUGUGUGUAAAAAGUCUCGCUCCAGAUCGUAUUCCCCGCGCCGCCACCGAAGCCGAAGUUCCAGUCGUAACUACCGUAGCCGUUCUCGGAGCCGAAG